AGACUACUUGUUUAUGUUUUAAAAUGGCUGCGAUAGGAAAGAUGCGAUUUUCGACAUAGUACCACUUUAAAUGGCAGGAACAAUUCAUUUCAAGUAUUAACCAUGAUGUAAUCUGUUGUACAUGUAAGCUGAACUCUUCGCUUGCCUGCUUGCCCGUUAAAUAAUACACGUAUAAGUGAAUUUCAAUAGUCAGUACAAUGGUAAAUAUAGAAUAAAGCAUUUUCGGAUGAUCCCAGGAACAGAUUUUUAUACGAAGCCAACUUUUUCUAAGUUUUACUGGAAGAGAAAGAUUCUUUUUAUUCUGGAUUGAUUCGGCCAACAAUUUUCAUGAACCAGAUUUUAAAUACUUUCGUCACCUCGAGGUCAGUAUUCGAAAAUUGUAAAUAGUUUAAAGAGAUAUGUUGCUAGAAGUUGUAGGAUAUGUUAGUAUUCCUAUGUGAGUAAUCAGCGACGGAUGAUUCAGCUUGUUAAAUUAUUUGUUUGUUUAGUGUUUUUAGUUUGUUUGAUUUUUAGCCGUCGUUUGUUCGUUUGUUUGUUUUUAUGCAGAUGCAGAACGAAAUGACUUUGAGUCAUCUAAUUUUACAAACGAAAAAAUCUUUUCUAACAACUUUGUAGUGUUUACUAACAAUGUUCGUCGGAUUGCCCAACAGGGACUGUUUUUCAUAUACUGCUCUAGGAGUAAAAUAAAUGGACUUGUGGUCCAGCUUUUUAGAGGGUUGAAAGUUGUAAAUAUUACUGAAGAUAUUAAAUGAGACGCAUGUGAUACUGUCAAUUUUUCUCGGUUUAGUUUGUUUUGUACUGUCAUAAGUGCAGUGUUUUUUUUCGGUAGCUAAUUUUCCCGCAUAAAUCACCAUUAUAAUGAAAACUCUUAAUAGACUUCGAGUAGUCCCUCUUUCGCUUAGUCCGUCGAGCGCGACGUGAAAGAAAAACCGAUUUCAUAAGGCAUCAGGCCUGAUAACCAUCUAAAGACCGAAAAACGUCUCCGACCUCUAGCUCUCAACUUUUUGAAUUCUGUUUUCCAUAUUUAACGACAGAAACUAUGCAAUUCUACCCCGUUUAGGAUGUCCAUGUCAUGGACAGACUUACAUAAAAUUAUAAAACCACGUUUAGGGGCAGUGAAGUCGAUCAAAAACCCUGUUAGGUGGCAUCUCCCCGUAUAGACCAUAUAAUGGUGUACCCUCCCACCUCUCCCCCAACCCCCAAUUCCAUUUCAGACUGUUGUGUUUGUAAUAGGAGUUCUUUUUUUCUUUUUCUUUUUCCCCUUCCUUUCAUUUCUAACAGUAGUUCACAGAAUAUUUUUCCAUUUCUUAGCAGCGUAAACAUCAAGCGUCUACGAGUCUAGCGCUAGCAAACUCAAUGACGUCACUGACAAAGGAAAUUCUGUGGUCAUUUUCACUUGAUCCCAAGAUAAAUUUAGCUGAUGUUCUGUGGUUGAAAUAAUGUGCUUAGCUUGCAUUUUCUUUCAUGGCGGUUGUCCUCAGGGAGUUAUAAAUUACGCUUCCGAGGCGCAUACCAACGAAUACCUGUUGAGUAGGUAUGAAGUCCAGUCGUUCAAGCCAUCAGUUAGUGUAGCGAACUCUUGCCAUUAAUUUUUUGGCGUUUCUCGUCGGUAGACUCAAUCAUGCAAGAUCAGACGCUCAAGUCUUUACCAAUACAUGACUGAAAGUUCAGACCUGACCUGGAUGCCGGUGGUUUUUCAUGCGCGGUUAUUUUUCCGGAAAUCAAAGCUAUGAGGUUAACCUUCCGACUAACCUGGUUGCUGCGGUGUCACAAUGAUGAAUAUUAAACCCGUCUCAAUGAAAUCAUGAGUUUGGAGGCAUAUACAUAUAUUUGGCUUGUUUCCUCCAUUUGCUUCGUUUUUACCGCUCUCAAUCCACAAGCAAUUACUGCCAAUAUUCAGCUCUGUCACGUAGAGGAGAUUGGCAACAGCGAAACAUUAAGUCUUGAUGUUAAUGAAACAACGCUGACUAGACCUGGUCUUUAUGGAGUUUGCCUUAGUAAUUGUCUGUCGCCGCCGGAAAAGACUGCAUGUCGAAUGAAAGAUUCAAGCAAAACAGAAUGUGUCAAUGAGUCAAGUACUGCGGCUUUGUGCCAGAACAGCAAGUUCUAGAUCGAUCGGAAAAAAAAGCCCAAUGGGAUUAACACCGUAUUUGUUACUGGACCAAAAGAACUGAUUGACAAGUGGAGUCCAAUUAGCGUCACAGUACACUUGAAAGGAACUCGCACAGACCCCAAGUGUAUUCAUAAUGGAUCUGCACCAGAGGUCGUGUCAAACCGGGCUGAUCUAACUCAGAAAACAACCACCAAAUGGUCACCAGAAAAGAAGGAGCCUCACGUGUUUUAAAGAUGGCGGUUGAAGACCAGCGUAAACGAUGUAAAAUGCUACUCGUAAAGUGAAACAGCGCUU